CUCAAACUUCUGGGCUCAAGUGAUCCUCCUACCUUGGCCUCCCAAAGGGCUAGGAUUAUAGGUGUAAGCCACCGCCCCCAGCCUUGUACAAUUUAAAAUGGUUAAAAUGAUGAAUUUUACAUUGAAUUUCACUUCAUAGGAAAAAUUUUUAAAAACAACAACAAACCACUUUAAUGGACACAUAAAAUCCCUGGGGGUCUCAUUGCAAUGCAGAUUUGGAUUAAACAGUCUGGGUGGGUCCUGAGACCCUGAUCCCCUUGCUUUUCACCUAUGGCCACAUUUUGAGAAGCAAGGCCACUCAAAGGGCCCCCAUCUGUGUGAAUCAACCCCUGCUCCAUCUGCCCCUAUAAAUGACAGGAGUGGGGGUGUCCCCAGGUCUGAGCCUGGAGGGGGUUGCAGGCUUCCUCCAGGCAUGGAAGUGGAGUGAGAGGAGGCUGUAGUUAAACGGGUUACUCUGUCAGCAGACACAGAGGAGACCAGAAUAGCUUUUAUUUCACAUGAAGCUAAGGAAGGAAGUCGAGAGGACAGGGCUGGUUCUGUGGGCGCUGCCUGGCAGGUGCACCACCUCCAACUGCUGGGCUCCAGCUCCAGGGCUCAGAAGCCAUCUGAAAGAAAGCAGAGGCCCCCAGUGAGCAAGCUGGGGUGCCGCAGAGUACCUGCCCCCGUGGUGCCCAGCAGUUCCUUCCCUUCCCUCCCCGGCCCCCAGGAACUACUGCGCGCGGGACACAAGGAUCAAGGAGAGAGCAGAGUGCAACCCCAACCCUGCCUGAUCAGUGGGGACGCCCGUCUUCCCUGCGAGAGUUUUGGGGUGGAACAGGAGUGGCUGCUCAGGGGAAAAUUAAAGGAGCUGAGAAGCUCCAGUCGUGAGAAGGCUAAUGAAGGAGGCAGUUUCUCCGCGCAGGGGUUGUGCUGAGAUGGCAUCUAGGGCCGGCUCUUCCAGAACCUCAUUUGACACUGGGCGGCAGCCACCGGGUGUGGCAGGUGGGGCGGGGCGGGCGGGGAGCAGGGAUGAUGCCGUCCCGCUUCCGUCCCCAGGGAGCGCUGGGGCCCUCCCUGCCAGCCAGGCUACACCUGUGCAGUGGAGCAGCCGUCCCUGUCUCGCCUGCCCAGCGCCAGAUGACAGCCGCCCAGAGGCUGUCCUCUGCCACCUGCACUGCUCACCUCCGAGAAGGUCGGGAGCGGGGCUGAAGGGUCCCGGGGGCAGGUUCCAGGCCAGCUCCUCCAGCAGGCCCAGCAGGCCUUUCACCUCUGUCCCCAGGUGAUCCACGGUCUUCUCUACCAUCUAGAGUGGGAAGUGGGGUAAAGUCGAGGACAGAAGUGGUUCCACGUUCCGCUUCAUCAGCUAGGUCCUAAGAGAGCAGCUGGCGGUCCAGUGCGGUGCAGUGGGAAAGGACUGGGCGCUAAGUGACCUGGGUUUUCCUCACUCAGGCUCUGCCCCUACCUGCCUCAGUUUCCCCAGAUGACAAUAUCCUAGGGGGCUUGCUCUCUAAGGCUCCUUCUUUUUUGGCACUUAGUCACAGAUUUGGAUGAAGCGCCUGUAGAAUACCUUCUCCCUUUUGGACUUUGCAGCCUGGAGCUCACAUUCCUUUUGUUGUUCCGCCCCCUGGUGGUAUCUCUGCCAAAUGACAGGUUUGGGAUUCUGAAAUUUACUGAGUUCUUAAUGGUUUUUCCCUGUGUAUGCCAUGGACCCCAUUGGCAGUGUGGUGAAGCCUACAGACCUCUUCUCAGAAUAAUGCCUUAAAUGCAAAAAAUAAAACAUAUAGAAUUACUAAGGGCACCAAUUGCAUUAAAAUAUUAUUCAAGUAUUAGGCCGGGCGUGGUGGCUCACGCCUGUAAUCCCAGCACUUUGGGAGGCCAAGGGGGGCAGAUCAUCGGAGGUCAGGAGUUCAAGAUCAGCCUAGCCAACGUGGCGAAACCCUGUCUCUACUAAAAAUACAAAAAGAAGCCGGGCAUGGUGGUGCGCGUCUGUAGUCUCAGCUACUCGGGAGGCUGAGGCAAGAGAAUCACUUGAACCGGGAGGUGGAGGUUGCAGUGAGCCGAGAUCACACCAUUGCACUCCAGCCUGGGUGACAGAGUGAGACUCUGCCUCAAAAAAAAAAAAAAAAAAAAAAAAAAUUCAAGUAUUUAAAAUUAAACUUUUUGGCCCAGCAUGGUGGCUCACGCCUGUAAUCCCAGCACUUUGGGAGGUUGAGGCGAGAUCACUUGAGGUCAGGAGUUUGAGACUAGCCUGGCCAACAUGGUGAAACCCCAUCUCUACCAGAGGUACAAAAAAUUAGCCGGGCAUGGUAAGUACAAAAAAUUAGCUGGGCAUGGUGGUGCAUGCCUGUAGUCCCAGCUACUCGGGAGGUUGAGGCAUGAGAAUCACUGGAACCUGGGAGGCAGAGGUUGCAGUGAGCCAAGAUUGUACCAUGGGCUCCAGCCUGGGUGACAGGGCAAGACUCUGUCAAAAAAAAAUUUAAAUUUUUGAUGUAAUAUAUGUAUUGGCCGGGCACAGUGGCUCAUGCCUGUAAUCCCAGCACCUUGGGAGGCCGAGGUGGGCAGAUGGCUUGAGCUCAGGAGUUCGAGACCAGCCUGGGCAACAUAGCAAAACCUUGCCUCUACAAAAUAAAUACAGAAAUUAGCUAGGCAUGGUGGCACAUGUGUCUGUAGUCUCAGCUACUUGGGAGACUGAGGUGGGAGGAUUGCUUGAGCCUGGGAGGUGGAAGUUGCAGUGAGCCGAGACUGCACCACGGCACUCCAGCCUGGUAGACAGACAGAGACCCUGCCUCAAAAAAAAUAAAAUGUAUUUAUUAACUCACUAAAUCACAUGAUUUAACAUCAGGCCUAAUAACAACUGAAAUUUUGACAUAAGGAAGGAUAAAAAUUAUAUGUUGAGAUAUUCAUAACUAGAAGAUGAAAUUAUCUGGAUUUCUAUUGAUGACAAAGUUAUAGUACUGUUAAUACCACGGCUCGCUGUUUGUAUUUAUGAUGAAUGAGAAUGCUCAAUUUCAGUUAAAGGCUUGUGACAAUAAAGAUGUAAACUUUUCCCCACACAAGUUAGGAAUCGUGGCUAUAUAACAAAACAGUGACUGAAUUUCCACCUUCCCAUCCAGUAAUGAUGUUGAAAUAUCCGGGUGGGGGUAAGCAAGGCCUUAGGGGAGGCAGGGUCCACUGGGGGCUGGGCAGCCCGGCAGCCUAGAUGGGAGGGUGAUGUUGGACGAGGUGGCCACAGGGCAGGAUCGGCCCGGAUGUCCUCACAUUCCAAAGCAAGCUUGCAUCUGCCCAUAAAAACACCAUCCUAGAAGGUGGUCCUGAACUCGCAUGUCCUUCCAAACCACCCUGUUACCUCCUCCAUGACAUCUAGACGGCGUUGCACAGCCAUGUGUCUGUCACACGCUGUGCUCUGAGCUGAGUCUCCUCGCGGAGGGCUGAAGGGUUCGGCAGCUGUGGGAAAACAAGUCUUGUCACUGUGGGACCCUUAGUUUUCCAUAAUGCCAGAGACUCCUGUAAACACUGGGCUCAAAUGAGGUCAGUCCUCAAAGCAAACUCAGGAGCAAGCGGAGGACGGCCCAGGUGGGGGUCAGUGUGCGAGUGUCAGCCAUCUCAAUCCCACCAGUCUCUACAGCCACAGUCACCUACAGACCCAGAUGAACUUCCUCAAGGAGGUGAAGCCCAGGGAGGAAGGGAGGAUGGGCUUCAGCCAG
rnacentral:lncRNA from 1 species